rnacentral:rRNA from 1 species
UGCAAGUCGUAACAAGGUAACCAGUUGUGGGGGGAUUAGUGGCGAACGGGUGAGUAACACGUGAGUAACCUGCCCUUAACUCUGGGAUAAGCCUGGGAAACUGGGUCUAAUACCGGAUAUGACUCCUCAUCGCAUGGUGGGGGGUGGAAAGCUUUUUGUGGUUUUGGAUGGACUCGCGGCCUAUCAGCUUGUUGGUGAGGUAAUGGCUUACCAAGGCGACGACGGGUAGCCGGCCUGAGAGGGUGACCGGCCACACUGGGACUGAGACACGGCCCAGACUCCUACGGGAGGCAGCAGUGGGGAAUAUUGCACAAUGGGCGCAAGCCUGAUGCAGCGACGCCGCGUGAGGGAUGACGGCCUUCGGGUUGUAAACCUCUUUCAGUAGGGAAGAAGCGAAAGUGACGGUACCUGCAGAAGAAGCGCCGGCUAACUACGUGCCAGCAGCCGCGGUAAUACGUAGGGCGCAAGCGUUAUCCGGAAUUAUUGGGCGUAAAGAGCUCGUAGGCGGUUUGUCGCGUCUGCCGUGAAAGUCCGGGGCUCAACUCCGGAUCUGCGGUGGGUACGGGCAGACUAGAGUGAUGUAGGGGAGACUGGAAUUCCUGGUGUAGCGGUGAAAUGCGCAGAUAUCAGGAGGAACACCGAUGGCGAAGGCAGGUCUCUGGGCAUUAACUGACGCUGAGGAGCGAAAGCAUGGGGAGCGAACAGGAUUAGAUACCCUGGUAGUCCAUGCCGUAAACGUUGGGCACUAGGUGUGGGGGGACAUUCCACGUUUUCCGCGCCGUAGCUAACGCAUUAAGUGCCCCGCCUGGGGAGUACGGCCGCAAGGCUAAAACUCAAAGGAAUUGACGGGGGCCCGCACAAGCGGCGGAGCAUGCGGAUUAAUUCGAUGCAACGCGAAGAACCUUACCAAGGCUUGACAUGAACCGGUAAUGCCUGGAGACAGGUGCCCCGCUUGCGGUCGGUUUACAGGUGGUGCAUGGUUGUCGUCAGCUCGUGUCGUGAGAUGUUGGGUUAAGUCCCGCAACGAGCGCAACCCUCGUUCUAUGUUGCCAGCACGUGAUGGUGGGGACUCAUAGGAGACUGCCGGGGUCAACUCGGAGGAAGGUGGGGACGACGUCAAAUCAUCAUGCCCCUUAUGUCUUGGGCUUCACGCAUGCUACAAUGGCCGGUACAAAGGGUUGCGAUACUGUGAGGUGGAGCUAAUCCCAAAAAGCCGGUCUCAGUUCGGAUUGGGGUCUGCAACUCGACCCCAUGAAGUCGGAGUCGCUAGUAAUCGCAGAUCAGCAACGCUGCGGUGAAUACGUUCCCGGGCCUUGUACACACCGCCCGUCAAGUCACGAAAGUUGGUAACACCCGAAGCCG